rnacentral:rRNA from 1 species
AUUGAACGCUGGCGGCAUGCCUUACACAUGCAAGUCGAACGGCAGCACGGGAGCAAUCCUGGUGGCGAGUGGCGAACGGGUGAGUAAUAUAUCGGAACGUGCCCAGUCGUGGGGAUAACGUAGCGAAAGCUACGCUAAUACCGCAUACGAUCUAUGGAUGAAAGCGGGGGAUCGCAAGACCUCGCGCGAUUGGAGCGGCCGAUAUCAGAUUAGGUAGUUGGUGAGGUAAGGCUCACCAAGCCGACGAUCUGUAGCUGGUCUGAGAGGACGACCAGCCACACUGGAACUGAGACACGGUCCAGACUCCUACGGGAGGCAGCAGGUGGGGUAAUUUUGGACAAUGGACGCAAGUCUGAUCGGCCAUUCCGCGUGCAGGAUG